AUGAGCAGCUCCGUCGUCAUCUGCCCGGUGCCCCCCCCAGCCCUGCUGGUGCCCCUCACUCCCGACCUGCAGCACCCCCUCCGGCCCUGCCCCCCAGGCCUACCGGUGCCCCUCACUCCCGACCUGCAGCCCCCCCUCCGGCCCUGCCGGUGCCCCUCACUCCCGACCUGCAGCACCCCCUCCGGCCCUGCCCCCCAGCCCUGCCGGUGCCCCUCACUCCCGACCUGCAGCACCCCCUCCGGCCCUGCCCCCCAGCCCUGCUGGUGCCCCUCACUCCCGACCUGCAGCACCCCCUCCGGCCCUGCCCCCCAGCCCUGCCGGUGCCCCUCACUCCCGACCUGCAGCCCCCCCUCCGGCCCUGCCGGUGCCCCUCACUCCCGACCUGCAGCACCCCCUCCGGCCCUGCCCCCCAGCCCUGCCGGUGCCCCUCACUCCCGACCUGCAGCCCCCCCUCCGGCCCUGCCGGUGCCCCUCACUCCCGACCUGCAGCACCCCCUCCGGCCCUGCCCCCCAGCCCUGCUGGUGCCCCUCACUCCCGACCUGCAGCACCCCUUCCGGCCCUGCCCCCCAGCCCUGCCGGUGCCCCUCACUCCCGACCUGCAGCACCCCCUCCGGCCCUGCCGGUGCCCCUCACUCCCGACCUGCAGCACCCCCUCCGGCCCUGCCCCCCAGCCCUGCCGGUGCCCCUCACCCCCGACCUGCAGCACCCCUUCCGGCCCUGCCCCCCAGCCCUGCCGGUGCCCCUCACUCCCGACCUGCAGCACCCCCUCCGGCCCUGCCGGUGCCCCUCACUCCCGACCUGCAGCACCCCCUCCGGCCCUGCCCCCCAGCCCUGCCGGUGCCCCUCACUCCCGACCUGCAGCACCCCCUCCGGCCCUGCCGGUGCCCCUCACUCCCGACCUGCAGCCCCCUGGUGGCUGGAGUGCAGGUGGGGUGGGAAGGUUGGGAGCCCGGACGCCUGGGUUCUCUCCUGACUCUGGGAGGGAAUGUGGCAGGGCCUUUGGGUCACUGGGCUCGCCCUAG
rnacentral:lncRNA from 1 species